rnacentral:rRNA from 1 species
CCUACGGGAGGCAGCAGUGGGGAAUCUUGCGCAAUGGGCGAAAGCCUGACGCAGCCAUGCCGCGUGAAUGAUGAAGGUCUUAGGAUUGUAAAAUUCUUUCACCGGGGACGAUAAUGACGGUACCCGGAGAAGAAGCCCCGGCUAACUUCGUGCCAGCAGCCGCGGUAAUACGAAGGGGGCUAGCGUUGCUCGGAAUUACUGGGCGUAAAGGGAGCGUAGGCGGACAUUUAAGUCAGGGGUGAAAUCCCAGAGCUCAACUCUGGAACUGCCUUUGAUACUGGGUGUCUUGAGUGUGAUAGAGGUAUGUGGAACUCCGAGUGUAGAGGUGAAAUUCGUAGAUAUUCGGAAGAACACCAGUGGCGAAGGCGACAUACUGGAUCAUUACUGACGCUGAGGCUCGAAAGCGUGGGGAGCAAACAGGAUUAGAUACCCUGGUAGUCCACGCCGUAAACGAUGAUUGCUAGUUGUUGGGAUGUUUACAUCUCGGUGACGCAGCUACGACAUAAGUACACUCCGCCGUCGGGAGGUACGGUCGCGAGAUAACUACAAGAAGAGUAGACGCGNGAGAGCGACGACGACGACGACGAGGGAGAG